rnacentral:rRNA from 1 species
ACGCUCGACACCUACGGGAAGCAGCAGUUGGGAAUAUUGGACAAUGGAGGAAACUCUGAUCCAGUGACGCCGCGUGAAGGAAGAAGGUCUUCGGAUUGUAAACUUAUUUUGUCAGGGAAGAAACAAAUGACUGUACCUGAAGAAAAAGCACCGGCUAACUACGUGCCAGCAGCCGCGGUAAUCUGAGCGGGCUGGCAAGGC